AUCUCCUGUGUUCUUAUAUAUCUUUUGCAGCUCUUCUCGUCGGAGAGAAGGAGGAGCGAAAGAAGCCCGCGAAAUUAUUGCGCGUUCGGGUUUCGCGAUCGCGUCACGAUAUCGAUACUUAAUAGUUCGUAUUUUGAAACGUUUGUUCUUCGAUCAGAUUUUAAGUCGGGUUAGGGAGAGGAGGGAGAGAGAGAGAGAGAGAGAGAGAGAGAGAGAAAGAGAGAGGCUAUCGUUCUGUGAGUGUCACGUGAUUCGCGCCCACGACGUGAAGAUGCAGUGACUGUGUCGGCCGUGAAGCUGUCUGUCAUUCGGAGACGCGUUAUCAUCGGUCAAGUACGACGCACGAGAAAGGACAGCCCCGACAUAUUACGCAAUAUAUUAUCACAGAUCAAAGCUCGAGAUUUUCGUGUGAUUGUUCGUUUCGGGAGAUUCGGGAUUUUCGUGUAAUUGUUCGUUUCGGGAGAUUCGGGAUUUUCGUGAUCUUCAUUAUUCGUUUCGUAGUACGAACGUUCGAGUGGAUAAAUAUUACGUCGUGUUUAUUCGGAAGACUUUCGCGAGUUGCUUUUGUAUGUUGCUUUACACGAACUCUCGAAAGUUACGGGACGAUGCAUUAAAUUAUUCCAAUGUGAUCGCGCGAACCGCGUGAAGUGAGUCGCUCUGUCACCGCGUCUGGCGUCCAUAUUCGAAUUCCCGCCGUGUUUGAACGCCAGGAUCGCGCACGCUCCGGUAAUUUUGCGGAAGCAGCGAUUGUGAAAUUCGCGAGUGUGCAAUCGGUUGACGUGAGAAUUGCCAAAGGAUCUCCAGGAUGCGUCUGCAUGGGACGAGAACGUCGCGCAAGGAGGAGGAUGAUCUGACCGAUCAUGAAGCAGCGUGCUGUGGACAUCGCUAAAGGGUUCGUUUGCGACAACAUCCAGUCAACAAAUUGGGAUAUAUAUUAUGGAGAUGCGGACAGAAAGACCACGAACUGCCGGUCGAAUAGCACCAACUGGAAGAGUAACACCAACGGUACAUCAAACUAGUGGAGGUCGAAGAAAAGCUAUACCAGUUCCACCUCCGAGAGUGCCGACUCCUAUGCCCGUUGCGAAUAAUAAUCAACAAAAGAACAAUGCCAACGUCGUCGUCCCGCCCACCGUAUCAGCCGUGUCGAAGAAAGAGCCACACGAAAACAUCGCCCGGAUAGCGAAGCGGUACCUCGACGAUAACAUGCAGCAGGCGUGGAUCAAUCCUCGUCUAAUAUCGAUGAUAAAUAUGGAAGCAGUGACAUCGACCGACUACGAUUCCACAAAUCUCAGUAGAAACUUUAAUCAAGUUGGCUUCAACACAUAUAAUUACUCACAAUUCGAGGAGAAAUAUAAACCGCGACAAUUCUUCAAGUAUGGCGAUGAGUAUCUCGAGUACGGACACAAACUCGGUGCCAAUGAAAGAUACGCGCGAAUGAAGUAUCAGGACGGCUCGAGGCUCGAUCAACGAUAUUCACGCAGUCAAUCUCAGCCGGAACGGCAACACCAUCUGUACCAGGAGAUACGCUCCAAAUCUCAGGAUUCUCGCGAGCUUACAUUUUACCAGAUAAAUCCGCCUCCGAAAACAGAGAAUCCACGACAACAUGACAAGUCGCAAAAGUUGAAGAAAGAGCUGACAUUCUACGAGAUUGACGGACCACCAUCCUGUCAGGAGAAGAGGGAGAAAUCCGAGAUGUGCAAAGAGCGUGCCGACAAAGGGACUAAAUCUCACGACAAGUCCCACGCUGGUGGUCAGGAGAAGUCGCAAACCGCAAAGCACGGCAGACAGAGUCACCAGGAGCAGCAGAAAACACUGGCGAACGCGUCGGAUCACCGUCAGCUGAACCGAUCGCAGUCGGAUCUCACGGAGUGCCAGCUGCCGAAUUACUGCGGUCAUCGGAAUAAUCCAUACAUUGAUCCGCCCAAGUAUCGACAGUUUGACAGACCACCGCGCUAUCAAGAGGCUCCGCCGAGAGUAGUGGAACCACCGCCCAAGUAUCAUGCCGAUCCGCCUAAGUACGUCGAAGUGUCCAAACGGCAAGACGACUCUAAGAAGAUCCAGGAGGAGAAGGGGAGACGACAAGGUGGUAGUGGCGGCGGGGGUGGCAGCAUCAGCGGUGGCGGUGGCAGUGGCGGUAAUUCCAGUGGGGGAAGAGGGAACACCGGCACUCAUGGCGCCGAGACGCCCUCUAAUCUGGCCAGUAUCACGCCGACCGCGCGAGAAGCAACACGUGCCCCGAUCGCGCGACAACGAAUUUUUCACAAAACGUGCGACGUGCGCAACAACAGUAGCAAUAACAACAAUAACAAUAGCAAGGAGAACUUGCUACAGGAGACUGGCGAUGAUUGCGACGCAACGUUAUCCUCGCAUUGUUACGCCGAGCCGCUGAAAAAUCAUCAUCGUCAUCAUCAGCAGCAGCAGACCCGCGGGAUCAACGGUAGCAACAUCGCUAGCGGUGUCAUCAUCGGUAAUGUUUUUUCGGACAGUGGCAGUGACGGCUCGUGCGGCGAGGUAACAACGAGCGACAAAUACAAGGGUACCGGGUCAGAAUCGAAUCGGAACAGCAGCGGCGACGCGAUUCAAGGUCGUCCGAGUGAGAGAUCCAUGCUGAAGAUCGAGAAGCUGUCGGGAAAGACCGUUUUACACAGCGGCGGCGGUGAGUCUGCAGCGGCUGGCAAGUGCGGCGCGGAUAGGAUGAAGCCGGCCUCACAGGAGGCCGGCUACAACAAGCACGAGGUCAGCAAGGCCAAGAGCCACGAUGUCGGCCACGGUUACAAGGUCGAGAACCUGCGUUAUUACGGAGAGCUGAAGGGUUACGCCGAUUUUAAGGUUUACGGUACCGUUGACAAGCAGCCGGUGUCCGCGUUGAUAUCCGCGCACGAGAAAUCGCACCUUCUCCACGCACCUUCCUCGUGCGAAAAGGGUGAUAAGUGUCACAAGAUGCUGUCCUCGUCCGCGCAAGGAUACGGUCUGGGCAAGAUCGCUCAGCAACAGCCGGAGAAGAGUCACUACAGCGGAGAUCAUUACUACCACAGAUCAUCGCAUUCGAAACCGCCGAGCGCGUAUCAAGUGUACCAGGAGACCAAGUACUCAUACAACGUGAGCGGAGUGCCUGGGACACCGGCGCAGGCUAGCGCAGCCGCAGCGUUCUUCGCAAGAGCAGCGCAGAAAUUGAAUCUAUCGUCGAGCCCGCAUCGGAGACGACGUUCCGGCGACGAAAACAUCGGAUCUGACGAGCUGCCCAUUUUUCCCAAUGGAUACGCCGCGCUCCUUCUCAAGUCACCACCUCCGGCACCGCCUGCUCUUCUCAGGAGGAUAGGUGUAAAGGAGCUCACCGGAGUCGGGAAGGUAAAAGUCAUGCUGAGGGUAUCACCUGGAGAUGGAGGCAGCUUCUUUAAUGCGGAUAAACGGAAGAAGCAAGUUACCUUAGUGGAUCCAGCGUCCGGUCAAUCUUCAUCGGCAGAAGAUCGACGACCUACUGUGGCAGCGCCGAAAAUGUUCGCAUUCGACGCUAUCUUUACCGAGGAAGAUUCCCAGACUGAGAUCUGUUCGAGCGCUCUUACGGAUGUAAUUCACGCGGUCAUCAAUGGAACAGACGGUUGUCUGUUUUGUUUUGGACAUGCUGGCUUAGGCAAGUCUCACACUAUGUUGGGAACUCCGGAAGCUGGUCAUACACUCGGCGCAAUUCCUUGCGCCAUUGCGUGGCUCUUCCGAGGAAUUUCUGAACAACGACAAAGAACCGGUGCUAGAUUUAGCGUCAGGGUAAGCUGCGUAGAAUUGACCACCGGUCAGCAACAAUUGAGAGACCUGCUUGCAGCGCACGCAAACGAUUCGGAACAGUCGCCGGCCGUAUACCUCAGGGACGAUCCACUGUUUGGUACCCUUCAAUUGCAGCAGCAUAGCGAGCUCCGCGCGCCUACGGCAGAACGCGCAGCUUUCUACCUCGAUGCAGCAGUCGCCGGCCGUCAACGGGAGGACGGCGACGCGCAUAUGCUCUACACGUUGCACGUGUACCAAUACAGCGUCGCCGGCAAGGGCGGAGUUGCCGGUGGCAGAAGUCGACUGCAUCUGAUGGAUCUGGGAAAUUCGGACCGUGGCAAGUCUUCGGGUGGAAUUCCCCUCUCUGGCCUGGGCAACAUUCUUCUCGCGAUCUUUAACGGCCAGAAGCACUUGCCGUACAAGGAACACAAAUUGACACAACUGCUCAAGGAGUGCCUCGGCUCUCUGACCUGCCACGCGGCCAUGAUAGCGCACGUGUCUCCCAAUGCCCAGCACUAUACAGAGACGCUCACUACCGUUCAACUAGCGUCGAGAAUCCAUCGGAUGCGACGUCGGAAGAUUAAGUUCGUCGGCGGCGGCACGCAAGGUACCGGGAGCGGCGGCAGUUCCGGCGAGGAGGCGGCUCGGCAGAACAGCGAGUGCGAUCCCAGCUCGAGUGAUCUAUCCGCCGACACGGUGAUUUAUGUCGGGCCGAGCGCCGACGAUGCCACCGAUGGCGAACACCCGCCCGUUUACAUACCAAGCUUGAAUUCGGGCGACAAUCGUUGCGCGAUGGGCCGCGUGCUUCGCGGUUCCGCCGCCGAGAGACCGAGCAAAGUCCCCGAGGAACGUAGUCCGGCACAUAAAUCCAAGACGGUGAAGACGCUGACGCAGACCGCGUCGAAGCAGACAUCGCCGGCACAUAGCGUGACCCCGAAAGCGAGCCCCGCCAGGAAGAAUUCCUCGUCGAAAAGCGCGUCCUCAGCGUCCAAGAUCAACGACUCGCCCAGUAGUAAGAUCCCGAUAGCGGCGCCGAGCGGCGGUUCCGACGAACAGUGGAUAGAUGGUCCGAGAAUCUCCAAGUCGAAGGUCGCGGAAGCCAGACACAUGCUGAAAGAUUCGCAUCAUAAACGAGAGACAUGGAUCGACGGGCCAAUGCAAUUGACCAGCGCGCCAGCGCUGCAAUUGCACACUCAUCAGCAUGCGUCUUCCGGUUACGGUUUCAUGGACAGCCACAAGAAAAGCAUGAUUAGAAAGUGGGUGGAAAAUCAAUCGUCGCAGAUACAGCGAGCGAAACACGUCGGGUCGCGGCUCGACUCCUCCAAGAUGUCUUCAUCCGGCCAGUCAUCCGGCCAGUUUAAAGAACUGACACAGUUCAAAACCUGCAGCGGUAUGGAGGAUGACGAUACGUCAUUGUCCACGGAGAGUGAUAGCUUGAAAGCGAACGAGAUCGAGGAUAUAACCGAAAAAUUGAGCGCCAAGCUGAAUCUGCUUAACGUUAAAUCCAAUACGGAUUCAGGGUUAGAUUUGACAGCGAGUCCGGUGAUGGAUGACAAUGUCGAAAAGGGGAAGCUCGAUCUGCCAGAUGACGAAGAUGACGAUGAAGAAAUUGUCGUACCUCCACCGCUACCGUUGAUCGAACCACUCAGUAACGGAGUAAGCCGAGAAGUCUCCAUGGAAAGUCUGAAUCUGUCGCAUAAGGAUAUCGUUCUACCUUCGAGACAUUCGUUGUCUUCGGAGGACGAAAUUUUAGAGAUUGUCGAGGAAGAUUUGGAACCAGUACCUAUGCAAGACUCGUGUUUACAAGUGACUGAAGAGGACAUCGCGCUCUGUAUGGGUGAAAAUCUUCUGCUUGAGAGCGAUCAAGAAGAACAUCCUCUAAGAAUUCUUAGCCAAGAAAAUCUCACUGUAGUGUCAACUUUCACAGACUCUAUGUCGGUGAUGUCAGACACGGAGAGAUAUAGACCGCAUUAUCCGCCGCCAGUUGGUGCCGGUGUUCUACCUAGGCCAUACUUUGACCACGAGGACUUUCUCGAGCAAGAGACCAGGCACAAAUUCGAUCAGUUGGCCCGCCUCCAUGAGCUCUACCAAAGCAAACUCGCUCUCGCCAACGUUUCCAACUCCGUGACUUACCAGAGAGAAAACUCUUCCACCGUCAACGUACGAGAUGCUCCAUCAGCGACCGUCUUCCGUCCGCCGUCUCGCUGUCAAUCCUUGUCCCUUUCGGAUGUCUUAUUCAACGACAACGCAAGCAAUCACGGCAGCAUCUAUAGUGAACCUGCAUACAUAGCCGGCAAGCCCGAUCAAGAAAAAAUCUGCGAUAAUUGUCGUCAGAGCAUGUCUAGGCCUGCCACGGCCUCUUAUUGGUAUCCCAGUAGCGUUGCCCAUCUCGCCAGUCCUAGAAGGUACUGUGGCAAGUUGGGCGACUGCAACAUCUCGAGUCUGAGGCAUCCGGAUGGCGCUUCGAAUCCCAAUCUGAAGGAGGAGAUCGAAAGGAUACCCGGAAACGGAGCAUCCGGUUCGGAUCCCGAAGAGGAAUAUAUAGAGGCGAAGAAGCUAUUCACGGCUGCCGAAAGGUCCGAGAGAACGGUAACAGGAAAAUCCGACAUCGAAGAGGAUCUGAAGAUUCAAGGCGGCACUUCCUUGCAAUUGUCGAUGCCGUCUCCGGCGCCUUCCUCCGGACGAAUGCAACGCAAGAUCCUUAGCCUCGGCUCCUCGUUUGGUCUCAACAAGGAGAGCUCCGAUUCCGGUGCGGAUACAACGCCACGAGCGGCUAAACUAUCACCGGCCACACUAUCCAGACAUCGUGCUGAAAGCUCCGGUUAUGACAGUAUCGUUAGAGAUAGCGAGACGAGCAGUAUCACUAGCGACUCGUCCCGACAAACUGGCGCGUUACAGGAACAUCAAGGUAAUCGUGGCGCGCUGGGAGUUCUAACUUCGACGUUGUGCGGGUGUUUCAGCGGUGGAACAGCGGGCGGCAGGGUACGAGCUUCGGCGGUCGCGGGCCCACUGCCGGGCUCAACCGGGGCCGCCCGCGGCGUCGGCGAUUCUCGCGUAUACAGGCGAGGACGUAGACAUCCUGGACAGGCGCGCGCGGGUGCGCUCGAAUCCACGUGGAAUGAUGUCCAGGAUACACAGCCUGCGCCUGCGCCAGCGCCUUCUUAGGCUGGAGCUACGCGACGCCAAAAGACGCCUAAUGGUGCCCGACACUCGCUGGGACUAUAAUCUGUACGUAGAAGACAGCAUGGACUGGCGAAAUCCGUCAUUUUUGGAAGCUCUGACGGUCGAGACAUGUAUUCUACAGAAAAGAGUGGAGGCUUGUAAGAGCCACGUUCUUCUGGUCACCUGCUUCGACUCCUGUCCUCAGCAGCCGACAACCGAGCAGCCGACAGCCGAGAUUAACAUCACCUA
rnacentral:misc_RNA from 1 species